AGGGCAGUGGCUCAAUUGGUAGAGUAGCGGACUCCAAAUCCGUUGGUUGGGGGUUCGAGUCCCUCCUGCCCUG
rnacentral:tRNA from 1 species